GCCGGAUUAUGACUCCCGUACUUGGGGAACAGUUGCUUGAACUUCCGCUACUUUGUAGGGGAAUAUCUCUAAAAUUAGUCUUCUGCUUUAACUCAUUCCUCUUGGCAUCUAGUUCUUUGAUCCUCUGCUGCAGGUGCUUUAUAUAAUUCACAGCCUCGUUCAUGUGAUCAGAUAUUGAACGCUUUCCCUUGAUAUAUUCAAGAGGGAGUAAAGAUCGAAGGGAUGCAUAAAGGGUAGCCAUUUCCUGCCUCCUUUGGCGUUCAAUAUCCCUGUGCAAUAACUUCUUCUUAUUAUUACCGUUAUCCCUAGCAGUCUCAUCAUUGUCCAUAGAAAUGGAUUUUCGCCGCCUACUUUUUCCCAAGUCAUCUGUUAAAUCAGGACUGCCAUAGAGUACAGAGUGAGGGAGAAUUAUAUCUUGUGGGAUUUUGUGGGGAGCAUUAGAAGAAAUCUGGAAGCACAGCUCAUUGCCUUGGUGUAAAGGAAACAUAGUUGCAAGCUUGAAGGGUAAGGUGGAGAUUAAAGAAGCAGAUACGUUUGUUAGGG
rnacentral:misc_RNA from 1 species